GCGGGAGUAGUUCAAUGGUAGAACCUUAGCCUUCCAAGCUAAUGACACGGGUUCGAUUCCCGUCUCCCGCU
rfam:Ramlibacter sp. Leaf400 contig_2, whole genome shotgun sequence.